rnacentral:ncRNA from 1 species
CGCCCGGACCCGGAUCCCGUGGGGGGAAUCCGUUCCGGGGAUAUGGGAAGCGCCCCGCUCGCCGAC